rnacentral:rRNA from 1 species
GACGAACGCUGGCGGCGUGCUUAACACAUGCAAGUCGAACGAUGACGACCGAGCUUGCUCGGUCUGAUUAGUGGCGAACGGGUGAGUAACACGUGAGCAACCUGCCCUUCACUCUGGGAUAACCUCGGGAAAUCGGGGCUAAUACCGGAUAUGAGCUCCUGUCGCAUGGCGGGUGUUGGAAAGUUUUUCGGUGAAGGAUGGGCUCGCGGCCUAUCAGUUUGUUGGUGAGGUAGUGGCUCACCAAGGCGAUGACGGGUAGCCGGCCUGGGAGGGCGACCGGCCACACUGGGACUGAGACAGGGCCCAGACUCCUACGGGGGGCAGAAGGGGGGAAUAUUGCACAAUGGGCGAAAGCCUGAUGCAGCGACGCCGCGUGAGGGAUGACGGCCUUCGGGUUGUAAACCUCUUUCAGCAGGGAAGAAGCGAAAGUGACGGUACCUGCAGAAGAAGCGCCGGCUAACUACGUG